rnacentral:rRNA from 1 species
UUUGGAUUGUAAACUCCUGUCGACCGGGAAAAGACAACCCGACCUAAUACGUCGGGAAGUUGAUUGUACCGGUGGAGGAAGCCCCGGCUAACUCUGUGC